CACGUAGGCACCAAGCGUUGUCCGGAUUUAUUGGGCGUAAAGAGCUCGUAGGCGGUUCGGUAAGUCGGGUGUGAAAACUCUGGGCUCAACCCAGAGAUUGCACUCGAUACUGCCGUGACUAGAGUGCGGUAGGGGAGCGGGGAAUUCCUGGUGUGGCGGUGAAAUGCGCAGAUAUCAGGAGGAACACCAGUGGCGAAGGCGCCGCUCUGGGCCGUAACUGACGCUGAGGAGCGAAUGCGUGGGGAGCAAACAGG
rnacentral:misc_RNA from 1 species